GACAGAGGGUGCAAACGUUGUUCGGAAUUACUGGGCGUAAAGCGAGUGUAGGCGGUCUGUAAAGUCGGGUGUGAAAGCCCCGGGCUCAACCCGGGAAGUGCACUCGAAACUCACAGGCUAGAGUAUCGGAGAGGUUGGUGGAAUUCUCGGUGUAGAGGUGAAAUUCGUAGAUAUCGAGAGGAACACCGGUGGCGUAGGCGGCCAACUGGACGAAUACUGACGCUGAGACUCGAAAGCGUGGGGAGCGAACAGG
rnacentral:rRNA from 1 species